AACGCCGCAUGAAAAGCAUGCCUAUAUUAAUUCCAUUCCUGACUUAGAAUCAAUACUUAUACAGGCUAUGUUCCGGAUAUCGCAAAUUUUGUGUUUGAACUUGAAAAAUUCAUACGAAUUAAAAUUUAAUAGUGUUUCAUUCCAAAAAAUAUUAAGGAACAGACCAACUCUGUAACCCAUGCCAACUAUUAAUAUCGAUCAAUGGAAUUCGAAAAUUUGUUGUUUUGGUUUAUUUAUUUGAUUCAACGGCAAAAAUUUUUGUUUAGAAAUAUAUGUAUUAAGUAUUUAAAGGAUAUACGAAAAUAAAUCUGAAAAUUUAAAAAAAAAAACUUAAAACAUCAGCAAAUUUUUUUGAAUUUUUCCCUCAUAAAAUUGGUUCUAUAUUCCAUUUUGUCCGCGUUCUCGUGGUGUGAUAUGACAAACGUCAGCACAGUAGGCUGUGUGUCACAGUAACCGGUUUUGGCUUGGCUUUUCCAAAACACGAAAUUAUUAUUCGGGUCGACUCAAAUACGAAACAAUAUAAAAAAUUCUUAAAAUUGUUUGGAAUUGAUUUGGAAAUACAGCCAAUGAAAAUGCAGAAGAACAACAAAUUUCCCUUGAAGAGCGCCGCGUUGGCGCUUCAACAUUAGAUGAAGUUGCCAUCGUGAUGUUGGUGAAAACAUAGAAAGACGUGAUAUUGUGAUUGCACGUCGCGAUGUUGGGCAAUUGCAAAAAAUAUCUGAAACACAUCGUUUAUAUAACACGUUGCUAUACUCGCUCAUGUUUUGGCAAGGAGAAGAUGGAUAUCAUUUUAAUAUCAAAAUAAUAAAUCCAUUGAGUGGUGAAGAAACUACAAAGAAAAUUAGUUCGAUGAAAUAUUACGCACAACGUUUGAUGAUUCGGCAGAAGAGGAAAAAAGGUCUAUAGCAAGUUGAUUGAAAUUUUUGAACAAAUUGAACAUUUCCAUAAUGGCAAUGAAAACCGAAUUAAUUUACUGAAAACCAGGAUUAAUAAAUGUUCUAAAGUAACAAACGUCACGUCUUCAUGAGAAAAAAACACCGUAAUUGUCGUCAUCUAUGUAUGUAUAUCGUAAAAUGCAAGUGCAGUUUACAAUGUAAUCGUUGUUCAUAUGGCUUGACGCCUGAUAACUUACUCGAUUUUUUUUACACAAUACCAGACCUGGUGGAUAUUGAUUUGGAAUCGGAUUCAACUGCUACUGCAGAUUCAUCUUACCGACCUGAGACAUCAGACAUGGAUUUUGAUGAAGUUUUUUUAUUUAGAAUACGAAAAGGUUUGAUACCUCCAAUUAUGCUAUGAUGUGCGGCAGAUUUGGUGUGUUAGACAGAGUUGCUGCUUGUUCCGCUACGGCACUUAUUAAAGAUGUAGGUUUCAAAGACAACUCUAAUUUAUAUGUAAAUAAAUGGAUGUUGAUUUCUGAUCAACAUAAAUGGACUGCUCGAUCUUCAUAGCCAAUGGUUACAAAAUCGGAUGACUAUAUAAUACCUACUUUACUGCGAAGAGCUGCAGCGAUGAACUCUUUCGCUUGUCACCAUUGCGAAAACCACACAACGAGCUUUCGUUUUGAAAGCUUGAGAAGUAAAGUUACGCGAUACCCUACAUUAGUCAGGUAUCUGGGUUUGAAACUUAGUUAGUUAGUUCCUUUGGAAUUUUGGCAGUGCGCUACAACCGAUUCCUCACUAAAAUGUAUAUCAAAU
rnacentral:sRNA from 1 species